UCAUGCGGUAAAAGGUGUGGCAAGGAGUUGUUUUAAGGAGCAUUGUUGUCUCACCUAGGGCAAAACUCUUUUCAUAUUCUCUUGCUCCUCCUCCUUCGACCCUAUCGUCCUCUUUGUCUCCUCCUCCAAACAGGUGUGACAAUAGCCACAACGACACAGCCGCCGCCGAUCUACUGCUCAACCUACCACGGCAACCCUCCAACCCAAAUUCAACCCACCAUUUACUGCACCACGACCCACCACGCCCCAGACCCACUACGACCCAGAUUCACAAACCACCACCCCGCCGCCACCAGAUCCGACUCACCCCUCAACCAGUAGAUCGGUGAAGACCCGGACCGAAACCCACGGUUCUGCUUCUUACAGCCUUGCUUCUCUAGGUGAAGACCCGUGAAGACCUCGGAGACCUCGGUGAGGAGACGGUAAAGAUCCGGACGUUCUGCUUCUCUUUGCGUUUCUUGCAUCGAUUUUGAUUUUUGGAGCACUUUCAAAACAAAAGGUAUGUAAAGUUUUCUUAUUAAGUUUAAUGUUAACAUAUAUGAAAGAUAUUUUGGUCAAUUAGAAAAAGUUUGAGGAAACAUGAAAGGAAAAAGAACUAAAGAACACAAAAAAAAAAAAAAAAUUAGAAUAGUGCUGAAUUAGGCAAAGGCUUUUGGAGAUUGUUGUUUUUAUAUUUGGAAUUCUUAACAUUCAUGUGUAUCUAUGUAUUGGGUUUAAUAGAAUUGGAAUUAUCUUCGAAACUUUGGUUUUGAUUGAAUAAUGAAAGAAGAAGUAUGUUCCAAUAUUUAGAAUCUUC